rnacentral:tRNA from 1 species
GCACCCGUAGCUCAAUUGGAUAGAGCGUCUGGCUACGGACCAGAAGGCUGAGGGUUCGAGUCCUUCCGGGUGUACAA